UACAGAGGUCUCAAGCGUUGUUCGGAUUCAUUGGGCGUAAAGGGUGCGUAGGCGGCGCGGUAAGUCGGGUGUGAAAUCCUGGAGCUCAACUCCAGAACUGCCCUUGAUACUGACGGUCUCGAGUCCGGGAGAGGUGAGUGGAACUGCGAGUGUAGAGGUGAAAUUCGUAGAUAUUCGCAAGAACACCAGUGGCGAAGGCGACUUACUGGACACAUAUUGACGCUGAGGUGCGAAAGCGUGGGGAGCGAACAGG
rnacentral:rRNA from 1 species